UGCCCCGGGUGGCGCAGUGAUCAAUGCACCUGCCUAACGAGCAGGAGGUCCCGGGUUCGAAUCCCGGUCCGGUAC